GGCGUGUCGAACGAUAUCACCGGCCGCAAUACCACCUGGACCACAGCCCGUCGGUUCGAAACAAGCAACCGAAUCGACCCUGGAGUUUCCUCCAUGACAAACACCCGCAAACUCUGCCGCCGCCAACCCUCACAAUCACAUUCAAGACACUCCCUUGCGGGCUUCUUCUGUACAUUUGCCACCCUUCCAAACUCCUUUUUCACACCACCGGCGACUAAAACUGUCGGUGGUGCGGAUCCGGAAAAACUGGCUCCGAAACGAACCCCAUUCUGGGCCAAACGGCCUCCGAUCUGCUGGUCCUACUCUGGUGAUGACAUGAUCGUCCGAAGAUCAUCUGUAAAGCUCAUGGGAAAACACCCAAAAACGACUUAUAUAACGCACCGCAAGCCUCAUAAACUACCCACUGCCACCUGAACCCUCCUGUUUACCUCUCUAGCUCGGAAUGGGCCCGUAUCCAUCAGGUACAGAAUGCAAUCGGGCUGACC
rnacentral:misc_RNA from 1 species